UACGAAGGGGGCUAGCGUUGUUCGGAAUUACUGGGCGUAAAGGGCUCGUAGGCGGCCAACUAAGUCAGACGUGAAAUCCCCAGGCUCAACCUGGGAACUGCGUCUGAUACUGGUUGGCUUGAAUCCGGGAGAGGGAUGCAGAAUUCCAGGUGUAGCGGUGAAAUGCGUAGAUAUCUGGAGGAAUACCGGUGGCGAAGGCAGCCCCCUGGGUCAAGAUUGACGCUCAUGCACGAAAGCGUGGGGAGCAAACAGG
rnacentral:rRNA from 1 species